rnacentral:rRNA from 1 species
AUUGAACGCUGGCGGCAGGCUUAACACAUGCAAGUCGAGCGGGGGAAGGUAGCUUGCUACCGGACCUAGCGGCGGACGGGUGAGUAAUGCUUAGGAAUCUGCCUAUUAGGGGGGGACAACAUCUCGAAAGGGAUGCUAAUACCGCAUACGUCCUACGGGAGAAAGCAGGGGAGCUUCGGACCUUGCGCUAAUAGACGAGCCUAAGUCGGAUUAGCUAGUUGGUGGGGUAAAGGCCUACCAAGGCGACGAUUUGUAGCGGGUCUGAGAGGAUGAUCCGCCACACUGGGACUGAGACACGGCCCAGACUCCUACGGGAGGCAGCAGUGGGGAAUAUUGGACAAUGGGGGGAACCCUGAUCCAGCCAUGCCGCGUGUGUGAAGAAGGCCUUAUGGUUGUAAAGCACUUUAAGCGAGGAGGAGGCUACUUUAGUUAAUACCUGGAGAUAGUGGACGUUACUCGCAGAAUAAGCACCGGCUAACUCUGUGCCAGCCGCCGCAGUAA